CCCCUCUCAGGAUUGAACCUGGAGAGUUUCCAGUCCUCUACCAGUCUCGGCUACGGAAGGGAGAAUCAAGCAGAGGCAGAGCCAUUCCAUUCCUAGCUUGGGCAGUGGCUAGCGAAUGGAAGGCCAUCUACUACAAGG